CUUAACGUAGUUUCUGCACGUGUGUUAUAUUUCUUGUUCAGCUACGGUUUGAUAUUUAGUAACAACAAAUAGCCAGCAUCUCAUUGGUUUUAAUUUAAGACUUGCAUUUUGUAGAUGUUACUUCCUUGCACGGCCCCUCCAUUGGUGCGUCCUACCGGUUGCGAUCAAGCCUAUCACUUAAAUCUUUAUCCAUCCGUGCUAGUUUGUCAAUACUUUUGUUAUAUCAUGGCUUUAUUUUAAUGUCGAUUAGUUAAUCGUCGUUAAGAUCAUUGUAUUUUAAGUAUAGCAAUUGUAAAAUGUCUGUUUUUUUCUCUAUGCCGUGAUCUCUCAAUGAUGAUAAUUUCACAGACCUGUACUGAAACACUGUGAUUGUACAUUUUAUUUAUCUGAUGAGAGAUUGCACGUUUUUACUUAAUUCAUGAAAGUAAAAGUUGGCGAGUUGCACGUGUUCUGGAAGCGUCACGUGGAAUUGCUUGACCUAACCGAGAUUUUCUCUUUUGCAGCCAUGCGGUCCAAAAUGAGUUUGCAGCUUAUUGGGUGGAAAGGUUCACUUGGUUCUAGUGCACUGAAGCUAAAGCUUUUUAUUAUAAUGGGUGUCUACACGUGAUGUUGGGGUGUGAAGUGUGCCUAGUGCCUGGAUUCUGUUGGUGCUUUUGGGUGUUUAUUGGAGUGCAGUCACUGACUUAGUGGUGGUGCCUGCACAAAAUGACCAUUAAUGGAUGGGCUGCUCGUGUCAAAGGAUUGGCCAUCGUGUGAUUGGUCAUGGGUUGAAUACUCCUAGUACUUUCAGGUAUUGUGCCUGAUAUCUGCACAGGUGAGUUUAGACAUCUGCUAUAUAAAAUGCUUUGCAGCUAGUCCUUUAAUGAUGCAACUUGCACACGUCUUACGCCCUGUGUCAGCACCAGAACCUGAAAAGGUGAACCCACUGGCGUUGCCUGGGCAAGAAGGGGAUGACUUGUUGGGGUUACCAACAGUCUGAGAAGGACUAGCUUUAGUAAUAGGCUAAAUUUGACUUUAUCCCCACAAUUCUUUAAUAUCUAUCUUCCUGCUCUCUCUAGUUGUGCAGAAGAUGAGUUCUCCAGGAAUGGCUGCGGCUUUUGACUUGGGUGAAUCCAUGGCUCGCAUGUGUUGUGGUGCUGUGUAGGAGUUUCUAAGGUGACCAUGCCUUGCGACUUGCUGUCCAGAUUGUAAUUUAAGAUUUGCCCCAGACGUCAACUGAUUCUGAAGUUUGACAGGCAGAAAUUGAACUCGUUAUGGUCCUAAUGAAGUUACUGAAGAUUCCAGAGUUGGCAAUUGUGGUAACGUUCACUGUACCUUUAUGCCACUUAAUGCAUUCAGAUGUUUCUAUUAGACCUCAUUGCUACAGGCAAAUAAAAUUACAAUUAAACAAGUCUAGUUUGUUUGACCCAUUCUUCAAAUGUUUUCUAAAUGGCUUUGAAUUAAAGUAUGGUACUUUGAAAGGAUGUCAUCUUUAACAAGUCAGUUUGUGAAAUUGUCAUUUAUAAAUAAAAUGCUUAACUGUAAGUGGUAAAAUCGGCCAAUGUUAUGGUCUCUUGGAUGAGAAAAGUCUUAAUGCUUCAUACAAAUACCUUUUUGGUAACAAUUUCUGUUUUGAAGUUGGGACCUUGUCUGUGUAUGUUUUUGGAAGUGUUAAACAAUAAAUGGCUGCUUCCUA